UCUAAAAGGGAAAGGUACAUUUCCUCCAACUGUGUUCUCUGAAACUCACUCUGUAGCAGGGGAGGGACAUGGUAACAAGGCUAACAGGCAACACUGAUGAUAGAAACCCCAGGUCUAAUAUGGAGUAGACGUCAGUUUCUACAGUAUCAGGACAUCCUAGUGGCUCAGAGAUGCUGCAAGCAGUGAAGUUCAGGAGAUGGCGUACGGAAAGUACAAUUCCAUGCGCAGGUUCAGAGGAAGACCGCUAUCGGGCACACCUGAAGCAGCCCGAAGCUCUGGCCUGCCCCUCGGCCCGGGUAGGGUAGCAGCAAAGGCCUGAGCGCCGCAAAUCCCCCACUGUGUAAAUCUGAAUAAAACCUGGGUUGAGCGCGUCA